rfam:Nicotiana attenuata strain TT chromosome 6, whole genome shotgun sequence.
CCCUAUUACCCUAUCUCGACUCACGCGUCGAUGAAGAACAUAUAUAGCAAAAUGUGAUAUUUGGCGUGAAUUGUAGAAUCCCGUAAACUAUCAAGUCUUUGAUCACAAAUUACGCCCCUAGACGUCACGCAUCGCAUCGUCC